AGCCAGAGGGACGAGCUAGCCCGACGAUGGCCCAGGGGACAUUGAUCCGUGUGACCCCAGAGCAGCCCACCCAUGCCGUGUGUGUGCUGGGCACCUUGACUCAGCUUGACAUCUGCAGGCAUUGUAAAGACCCUGUUUCUCCAGCUGUGCAGCUGCAAGGUCACUAGACAGAUAAACUCAAGCUGUAAAAAUUUUUUUCCUUAAAAAGUAAAAAAUAAUAUAAUGCAUGUCUCAAUUAAAUAACUGUCUUUGUUUCUUGCCUCUAUAAUAUGCUUCCCCCUGCACAGAUCUACCCCCGCCCCAUGAAAUGCUUAAAAGAUAACUUAACUCUUUGUUCAGGGCUCAGUCUUUUGAAAUGUUAGCCUGACUGAGCCAGUGAAUCUAAAUAAUAAAUCCUCCUCAACCCCUCGGUCUCUCUGAUUCCUAAAUUAUCCUGCAACAAUUGCUGUUGUCAGGAAUAGGAGUGGUUGCCCCUGGCUUCCCCAUCCCAG
rnacentral:lncRNA from 1 species